AAAGAACCCGGUGACAGGUGCUGCAUGGCUGUCGUCAGCUCGUGUCGUGAGAUGUUGGUUAAGUCCCGCAACGAGCGCAACCCUCGCCUUUAGUUGCCAGCAUUCAGUUGGGCACUCUAGAGGGACUGCCGGUGUCAAACCGGAGGAAGGUGGGGAUGACGUCAAGUCCUCAUGGCCUUUAUGUCUAGGGCUACACACGUACUACAAUGGCCGGUACAAAGGGCAGCCACUCAGCGAUGAGGCGCUAAUCCCAUAAAGCCGGUCUCAGUCCGGAUCGCAGUCUGCAACUCGACUGCGUGAAGUUGGAAUCUGUAGUAAUCGCGUCUCAAAAUGGCGCGGUGAAUAUGUCCCUGCUCCUU
rnacentral:rRNA from 1 species